UACAGAGGUCUCAAGCGUUGUUCGGAUUUACUGGGCGUAAAGGGCGCGUAGGCGGCGUGGUAAGUCACUUGUGAAAUCUCCGAGCUUAACUCGGAACGGUCAAGUGAUACUGCUGUGCUAGAGUACAGAAGGGGCAAUCGGAAUUCUUGGUGUAGCGGUGAAAUGCGCAGAUAUCAGGAGGAACACCGGUGGCGAAGGCGGGUCUCUGGGCCGAUACUGACGCUGAGGAGCGAAAGCGUGGGGAGCGAACAGG
rnacentral:rRNA from 1 species